rnacentral:tRNA from 1 species
AGUAGGGUGUCUGAUUAAAGUAAUAAAUUGUAAAUUUAUUUAAGGUUUUACCUCCUACUA